UGUUUUAUGGUAUAAUAGAGAAGUAGAAAAGUUAUGACGGUGGCGACUCAAUAGAAGCGGAGGUGGUACGUAUGAAUGUACUCACAAAAUCUGUUGAAAGGAGUAGCCUUUUGUCCGCAUAUGAGACAAUUCAAACCAUUUUAGGCUUUGGUAUGUUUACCAUUGCGUUAAUCGGUUUGAU
rnacentral:sRNA from 1 species